CGGCAGCUUACCGGGCGCUGGAAGGCAGCGGCCAGGCUGACGGCAAAGCAGAGGCAGCCCGCACCGGGUUUGAAAGCACGGCUCAUGAUCUUAAGACGUAACUAAUCUGGCAGAUAAGGACAGUAAACACAGGCUCCAGGCGGAAAGGAGCGGGCACCGACCUCUCCCCGCCCCGGGAGAAGCACGGCAGGGAGAGGGACGCCGUCUCUGCUGCCACCACUCACUGGGUACAGGAUUAGUGAGACGAAAAGGUCCCUGGAAAUCAACACGCACGCGGACCACGCGUUCGCGAGGAACAGGCUCAGAUGCGUGAUGCUCCUCUUUUUCCUCAAUGAGUCAUCUGCAUCUCGCACCAACAGUCCCCGAGAAAGAUGGCGAGACAGCGGCCGCGGCUCCCAUCCCCACACCGCCAGCCUGGGCGAGCUGCCAAGCAGAAUCUGUCCACCCCACCCCACCCCAUCCCAUCGCAGCCAGCUCGCCAGCCCACUCCCAGAAUAAAGUUAGAAAACGCUUCAUGGCCUGAGAAUAUUUCAAAGAAAAUUCACACAACACAUCCCUGAAUCUGCCCAAAUUGGUUACAAAUCCUUUGCCUGCUGAAGAGAGGCAUGUGUCAUCUCCAAGUACAUCUUACAGCUCUCUAAGAAAGCCACUCACUGUGUCAAGGACCCGAGGCUCCAAAGGGAGCUCUAAAAUUCUACUUGAAAAACCGAAUCUGUAAUGCAAUAUCCAUGUAGCAAUGACG